AUUGAACGCUGGCGGCAUGCUUUACACAUGCAAGUCGAACGGCAGCGCGGGCUUCGGCCUGGCGGCGAGUGGCGAACGGGUGAGUAAUACAUCGGAACGUGCCCAGUAGUGGGGGAUAGCUCGGCGAAAGCCGGAAUAAUACCGCAUACGACCUGAGGGUGAAAGCGGGGGAUCUUCGGACCUCGCGCUAUUGGAGCGGCCGAUGGCAGAUUAGCUAGUUGGUGGGGUAAAGGCCUACCAAGGCGACGAUCUGUAGCUGGUCUGAGAGGACGACCAGCCACACUGGGACUGAGACACGGCCCAGACUCCUACGGGAGGCAGCAGUGGGGAAUUUUGGACAAUGGGCGAAAGCCUGAUCCAGCAAUGCCGCGUGUGUGAUGAAGGCCUUCGGGUUGUAAAGCACUUUUGGCGGGAACGAAAAGGACUGUGCCAAUACCACGGUUCGAUGACGGUACCCGCAGAAUAAGCACCGGCUAACUACGUG
rnacentral:rRNA from 1 species